GAUGAACGCUGGCGGCGUGCCUAAUACAUGCAAGUCGAGCGAACGGACGAGAAGCUUGCUUCUCUGAUGUUAGCGGCGGACGGGUGAGUAACACGUGGAUAACCUACCUAUAAGACUGGGAUAACUUCGGGAAACCGGAGCUAAUACCGGAUAAUAUUUUGAGCCGCAUGGUUCAAAAGUGAAAGACGGUCUUGCUGUCACUUAUAGAUGGAUCCGCGCUGCAUUAGCUAGUUGGUAAGGUAACGGCUUACCAAGGCAACGAUGCAUAGCCGACCUGAGAGGGUGAUCGGCCACACUGGAACUGAGACACGGUCCAGACUCCUACGGGAGGCAGCAGUAGGGAAUCUUCCGCAAUGGGCGAAAGCCUGACGGAGCAACGCCGCGUGAGUGAUGAAGGUCUUCGGAUCGUAAAACUCUGUUAUUAGGGAAGAACAUAUGUGUAAGUAACUGUGCACAUCUUGACGGUACCUAAUCAGAAAGCCACGGCUAACUACGUGCCAGCAGCCGCGGUAAUACGUAGGUGGCAAGCGUUAUCCGGAAUUAUUGGGCGUAAAGCGCGCGUAGGCGGUUUUUUAAGUCUGAUGUGAAAGCCCACGGCUCAACCGUGGAGGGUCAUUGGAAACUGGAAAACUUGAGUGCAGAAGAGGAAAGUGGAAUUCCAUGUGUAGCGGUGAAAUGCGCAGAGAUAUGGAGGAACACCAGUGGCGAAGGCGACUUUCUGGUCUGUAACUGACGCUGAUGUGCGGAAGCGUGGGGAUCAAACAGGAUUAGAUACCCUGGUAGUCCACGCCGUAAACGAUGAGUGCUAAGUGUUAGGGGGUUUCCGCCCCUUAGUGCUGCAGCUAACGCAUUAAGCACUCCGCCUGGGGAGUACGACCGCAAGGUUGAAACUCAAAGGAAUUGACGGGGACCCGCACAAGCGGUGGAGCAUGUGGUUUAAUUCGAAGCAACGCGAAGAACCUUACCAAAUCUUGACAUCCUUUGACAACUCUAGAGAUAGAGCCUUCCCCUUCGGGGGACAAAGUGACAGGUGGUGCAUGGUUGUCGUCAGCUCGUGUCGUGAGAUGUUGGGUUAAGUCCCGCAACGAGCGCAACCCUUAAGCUUAGUUGCCAUCAUUAAGUUGGGCACUCUAAGUUGACUGCCGGUGACAAACCGGAGGAAGGUGGGGAUGACGUCAAAUCAUCAUGCCCCUUAUGAUUUGGGCUACACACGUGCUACAAUGGACAAUACAAAGGGCAGCGAAACCGCGAGGUCAAGCAAAUCCCAUAAAGUUGUUCUCAGUUCGGAUUGUAGUCUGCAACUCGACUACAUGAAGCUGGAAUCGCUAGUAAUCGUAGAUCAGCAUGCUACGGUGAAUACGUUCCCGGGUCU
rnacentral:rRNA from 1 species